AGGCCUCCCUCCUCAGUCUCUCAAGUAGCUGGCACUACAGGCACACGCCACUGCACCAGGCUCAAAGAAUUCUUAGCUUCCUUUUCAAAUGUUAACACCUUUUAUAACCACAUUAUAGGGAAUUAACCUUAAUAGUAUUAACUAUUUACAGACCUUCUUCAGAUUUCUCCACUUGAACUACUAAUGUCCUUUUCUGUUCCAGAAUCAGGUUUUCAUAUCACCUUAGUAUCCUCCCAUCUAGGAUAAUUCCUCAGCUUUUCUUUGUCUUUCAUAACCUUGAUGAAUACUAUUUAGUUAUUGUAUAGAAUGUAUUCGAUUUGGGUUUGUCUGAUUUUUCUUCUGAUGAAAUUCAGGUUAUAUGUAUUUGGCAAGAAUACCACAAAAGCAGCAUUGUGUCUUCUCAGAGCAUCAUAUCAGGAGAAAUGUAUCUUCAGCAUAGAUUCCUAGAAGUGAGAUUUCUGGGUCAAAGGAGCCCUUAAGUCAAGGAGCAGACAUGUGCCAACUAGGAGGCCUUGGUGGAUGGCCAGUUCUAAACAACUGAAGGCCAACCCUGACUCUCACUCUGUCCUUGUAUCUUGUGGUACAUGCACCUGUGCAGUGUCACCAGUUCCAGGAAAUAAAUAAAGAGUUACACACAUG